rnacentral:misc_RNA from 1 species
UAUAUAUAUAUGUUUCGAAUUUAUAAUUUUAACUUAUAAUUUAUUUUUUAAUGAAUAAGCUUAUUAUGUAUAAUGCUAAAUUAAAAGAAAAAUCUCCCCGUGGAAACCUGCUCCGCCCAUCACCCGUCAGGGAAAUUACCGUCCCGCUUCAAUCCUCUAUGGGGCGGGGACGAUUAAGGUAAAAUUGUUAAAUUGGAGUCAAUUUUAAUGGAUUACUUUUUGUUAUUAUUUUUGGAUUCUUUUAUCAAUAACUGAUUAGGAAUAUUAGUUGUCUUAGUUGGAUGUCAUUACAGGAAAAAAAAAUAUAUAUAUAUAUGAUAACUCUUUUCAGGCAUCAGUUCUUGGCCGGGGA